UUAACCAGGUUUUCCGAAGGAAAAAACUGGUUAUUAGAUUGGCGAAUGCGGGCUGGCUGGCUGGCUGGCGGGCGGGCUGGCGGAAUAAGCUUGUCCGGGCCAUAACUAUGUCGUUCAUUGUCAGAUUUUAAAAUCAUUUGGCACAUUUGUUCACCAUCAUUGGACGGUGUGUCGCGCGAAAUAAUUACGUCGAUAUCUCCAAGGUCAAGGUCACACUUUGAGUUCAAAGGUCAAAAAUGGCCAUAAAUGAGCUUGUCCGAGCCAUAACUAUGUCAUUCAUCGUCAGAUUUUAAAAUCAUUUGGCACAUUUGUUCACCAUCAUUGGACGGUGUGUCGCGCGAAAUAAUUACGUCGAUAUCUCAAAGGUCAAGGUCACACUUUGAGUUCAAAGGUCAAAAAUGGCCAUGAAUGAGCUUGUCCUGGCCAUAACUAUGUCAUUCAUUGUGAGAUUUUAAAAUCAUUUGGCACAUUUGUUCACCAUCAUGGGACGGUGUGUCCCACGAAAGAAUCACGUCAAUAUCUCCAAUGUCAAGGUCGCCACGACUAAAAAUAGAUUAAAAAAAAAAAAAAAAAUUACAAAGGGGGUUAAUUUUUUUUGGUCAUUUCAAAAGUUCAGUUUGAGUUUUCUCCCUUUAUCAGAUUUUUUUUUCACAAUGAAAACCUGGUUUUGUGACAAUUUUGUCCCUUGUCAUUACUAUUGAUUGGCACCAUUGCUAUGACUGAUUACACAAUGCAAUAUAUUUGUGAGGUUAAUUUUCAAUUUUACCUCAGCAUUACAGGUAAAACCUUAUUCCAUGUUAAGGGUUGACUGUAGUUGUGUAUGUCCAUGUUAAGGGUUGACUAUAGUUGUGUAUGAAGGCAGCACUCAUUAGAAUCUUGGAUUUAAAUUUAAAAGGCACUUAAGUUCAGAAUUGACGUUAUUUUUGAAAAUAAAUUAUACAUAUUUGUAUUCAAGAAUACAUAAAAUGACGGUAUUGAAUGCCUCAAUUUAAUGGUAAGUAUUUUUAUGCCCCCAAAGAUGGGCAUAUAGUGAUCGCACUGUCCAUCUGUCUGUCACACUUUUGUGUUUAGGUUUCAAAAAAUGCUCAUAACUUCUAUGUUGCUUCAGAUGUAACCUUCAUGUUUGGUAUGCAUGUGUAUAUGGACAAGACCUUUCCAUACGCACACAAAUUUUGACUCCUUUGACCUUGAGCUUGAACUUAAGGUCCGCGUUUAGGUUUCGAAAUCUGCGUUUAGGUUUCGAAAUCUGCGUUUAGGUUUCGAAAAAGCAUUUAUCGGGGGCGUAUGUCUUCUGAUGGAGACAGCUCUUGGUAUCAUUAGUUUGCAUUGUUCCUAAUAUUGUAUAGUAUUUGAGUUACAUGACUGACCUUAUAACAGUAUUGAAACCUUUAACGGGAAUUGGACAGGAGGGAGCAGUAUAAAAAUAAUGAAUUGUUUAUUUGGUUUGUAUGAACUAUUAAAUCUUUGGUGCUAUUUCUUUCUCCAUUUAAGUCAAGCGGUUUCAGGUGAUUAUUGUAAUUAUGACAUUACAAAAAAAAAGAUUUAUAGUAAAGAUUCUUGUAUUUUGUUAAUUGGCCUCUUGUAUUAUGCACCUUAUAAAAGUGUUAACAUAUUGCCAUAAUUUAAACAAUAUGUUGUGUGGUAUUUUUGUAUUGCAAACCAUCUGUCAUGUUUAUCCCAUCUUUUCUAUUUCUUUCUCCAUUUUCUCCAUAUAUUUCAUGUGUUUAUUGUUAUGUUGACAAGCUAAUAUUGAUAUCAAAGAUUCAUGUAACUUUUAUGUCUUUUAUUCAUUGGCUACUUGUAUUAUGCAUCAUUUAAAAGGUUUUAGAUUUUACCAUAAUAAAAAUGAUAUUUUGUGCAUUAUUUUUGUAUUGCAAACCAUCUAGCAUUAUUAUCACUCUGCUGCUUAUAUUUAACCUUUUUAGCUCAACUAUUAUAUAUGAAAUAUAUAUAGUGGAGCUAUCCUACUCACCCCGGCGUUCCCGUGUCCGUUUGCGUGCAAAUGUUAAAGUUUGUGUACUACCCCAAAUAUAUUCAAUGUCCCUUGACAUAUUGCUUUCAUAUUUUGCAUACUUGGUAACAAUCAUGACCCCAUCCUAUUAACAAGAGCAGACAACUGUAUCAAGCAUUUUGACAGAAUUAUGGCCCCUUUUAUACUUAGAAUACGCAUAUUAUUGAUAAAUCUAUGUUAAAGUUUGCGUACUACCCCAAAUAUUUCCUGUUUCCCUUGACAUAUUGCUUUCAUAUUUUGCAUUCUUGUUUACCAUAAUGACCCGAACCGACAAACAAGAGCUGACAACUGUAUCAAGCAUUUUGACAGAAUUAACGCCCCUUUAUGCAUAUUAUUGAUAAAUCUAUGUUAAAGUUUGCGUAUUACCCCAAAUAUUUCCUGUGUCCCUUGUCAUAUUGCUUUCAUAUUUUGCAUACUUGUUUACCAACAUGACCACAACCUAUCAACAAGAGCAGACAACUGUAUCAAGCAUUUUGAUAGAAUAAUGGCCCCUUUUAUACUUAGAUAAUUGAACAUUUUGCUUAAAUUGCCAUAACUUCUUUAUUUAUGAUCAGAUUUUAUUAAUACUUUGACAAAACAACACUUACCUGAAUACCACAAUGGAUUCCACCCAAACAAAACUCCACGCCCCAACCCAGAAUCCCUGCCCCCCACCUCCCCC